rnacentral:rRNA from 1 species
UGGGGAAUAUUGCACAAUGGGCGCAAGCCUGAUGCAGCCAUGCCGCGUGUAUGAAGAAGGCCUUCGGGUUGUAAAGUACUUUCAGCGAGGAGGAAGGCGAUAAGGUUAAUAACCUUGUCGAUUGACGUUACUCGCAGAAGAAGCACCGGCUAACUCCGUGCCAGCAGCCGCGGUAAUACGGAGGGUGCAAGCGUUAAUCGGAAUUACUGGGCGUAAAGCGCACGCAGGCGGUCUGUUAAGUCAGAUGUGA